UCAGCUGGGGCUAUUGCAGCCAUCUGGGGAGUGAAGCAGAAGAUAGUCAUUCUCUCUCUCUCUUUCCUUUCAAAUAAAUAAAAUAAAGGUGGCAUGUACCAAUGCCAUCUCACUUAGUCCAAGUGAUCAAUUUCUGUUCACAUUGAUCAGAAUGAUAGGACUAAGAGUCAAAGGGAUCAUAUAAACAAGACCAGUGUCUGCAAAUACUAACCAAUAGAAUCAAAAAGGGAGAGAACGAUCCAACAUGGGAAGUGGGAUACACAGCAGACUCAUAGAAUGGCAGAUGUCCUAAAUAGCACUAUGGCCUCAGAAUCAGCCCUUAAGGCAUUUGGAUUUGGCUGAAAAGCCCAUGAGAGUAUUUCAGGCAUGGAAAGCCAAGACACUCUGGCAAAAAAAAAAAAAAAUGACCUAAAUGAAAGAUCUCUGCGAGUGAGAUCCCAGUGGAAAGAAUAGGUCAUCAAAGAAGGAGGUACCUUUCUCUGAAGGGAGGAGAGAACUUCCACUUUGACUACGACCUUGUCUAAAUAUGACCUGAAACAUUUUUGAGGGAAACUGGAAUGGCCACACUUGACAAAAAUUUUAAAAGUGUCUUCAUGUAGCAAAAGAAUGAUUUACACCAGACAGCUUUUAUAUUCAUUACUGUAACCAUAAUGGCACUUUCUUAAGGCUAAAGCUGAAAUUACAAGCAUUUUGGCAUUUCAGGAACAAUAGAAGCCAACAUUUGAUUUCUCAUCAGAAUAGUUGUUUAUCAAUAGAUCUCUGCAGACAGUUAUUAUUCUUAGGUCACUAUGACACAAGAACAGAAGAAUAGUAUAAGGUGGAACACAAAGAAACUUGUACAUGUUCUUGAGUCUCUAAAUUACACUCCACACAAAGAAGAGGUGAGAUGUUUAAGACAUUUCAACAGACAUUUAGUGUUUUGAGAAAUGUAUGCUGACCAUAAAAGAAAAGAGAAGGCAAUCCAAGUAGAACGGCUUGGGUACAGAUACAUUUUCUCAGCUCCCAAGAACACUUUUCCUAAAGAAGAAAGAAUUGAUUGGAGAUUUAAUAAGCAUGCAUGUCCAAAGGAGUGGAUCUAGGUUCGUUGGAAAAAUGAACUUGGAAAUAAAGAAAAAAUAAAUCUGACAUCAGAGAAAACUCCCACCUUGGAAUAUAUAUAUGUGUGUGUGUAUAUAUAUGUUCAUAACUGUUGAUCCUUUAUUUUAAAUGGUGAGAAUGCCCAGAGAUAAAUAUUAAGCCACAUUCUCUCACAGUACUUAAAGAUUUAUUGUUUAGGCUGCUAGCAUGUAACUUCAAAUAAUGACAUUACCACCAGACUAUCCUACUGUCUAAAGGAGUUAAAUAUCUUCCAAAGAUGACUUGGAGAUUAGGGUACUCAGAUCUUUGUAUUCAUCUGAUAAUAUGUUUAGGGAUGCUUCACAUUAUUAAUAAGGUAGAAUGUCACAUCUGCAUGACUUCCUAGUCACUGCUUAGGGAUUGCUUAUGCACAGACACAUAAGAGAAUAUAUCCAUAAUUGCCAGUUUCUCUGUGGUAUGUGAUAUCUGAAUCUUGUUUGAGACAAUAUUUUUUCAUGCUGAGUAAAGCAAAAUAUGAAACAAAACAAAGCAACAAACUGGUGAAUAAAACAUUCAUCUAGUGGAAAAAAUAAAAGUUCUGGACUCCAAGUAAUGUUACUUGAUUCUCUUUAUUUCAUCAUUUAAUGUUACUACUAGAGAUGUCCAAACUGUAACAAGAUAUCAUGAGAUAAAUAAGUAAAAAUUAUUUCCCAAUUAGCAUAUUUUCUAUUUGAUUAAAUAGUAAUCCUUGAUAAGUUGCUACACUUUGCACUGAAAAA